AUAGCGUAUAUUAAAAUUGUUGCGUCUAAAAAGCUCGUAGUUUGAAAACUUGCCUUGGCUUACAUAGGUUCUUAGGGGCCACCGUUUGUCGAGCGCAAAUAUGGAUGACUGUUUUUGCCGACUUCAUUGUUGGGCUUAUGAGAGUUAUCAAAUAUCACUUUGAUUAAAUUAGAGUGCUUAAAGCAAGUGUGUUACUUGGAUAUAAAUGCAUGGAAUGAUGGAAUAUGUUGUUGUUCUAUUUGUUGGUUGUUGAACGAUGAAAUGAUUGAAAGGAACUGUUGGGGGCAUUCGUAUUGUUGUGAGAGAGGUGAAAUUCUUAGACCACAGCAAGACGAACUACUG
rnacentral:rRNA from 1 species